CUCGUAGGCGGUCUGUCGCGUCGAAUGUGAAAAUCCGGGGCUCAACUCCGGACCUGCAUUCGAUACGGGCAGACUAGAGUUCGGUAGGGGAGACUGGAAUUCCUGGUGUAGCGGUGAAAUGCGCAGAUAUCAGGAGGAACACCGGUGGCGAAGGCGGGUCUCUGGGCCGAUACUGACGCUGAGGAGCGAAAGCGUGGGGAGCAAACA
rnacentral:rRNA from 1 species